ACCUAGCGGCGGACGGGUGAGUAACGCGUGAGCAAUCUGCCUACAUCAUCGGGAUACCACGUAGAAAUAUGUGCUAAUACCGAAUAAGACCACACCGAGGCAUCUCGGAGAGGUAAAAGUGAUUUAGCGGAUGUAGAUGAGCUCGCGUCCCAUUAGCUAGAUGGUGAGGUAACGGCCCACCAUGGCGACGAUGGGUAGCCGACCUGAGAGGGUGAUCGGCCACAUUGGAACUGAGAUACGGUCCAGACUCC
rnacentral:rRNA from 1 species